GACGAACGCUGGCGGCGUGCUUAACACAUGCAAGUCGAACGAAGUGGCGAACGGGUGAGUAAUACGUGGGUAACCUGCCCUCCUUUUUGGGAUAAGCCUUGGAAACGGGGUCUAAUACCGAAUAAAGGGGGAUGGGCUCGCGGCCUAUCAGCUUGUUGGUGGGGUGAUGGACUACCAAGGCGGCGACGGGUCGCCGGCCUGAGAGUGUGACGGGCCACAUUGGGACUGCGGUACUGCCCAGGGUCCUACGGUAGGGAGCAGUGGGGGAUAUUGCACAAUGGGAGAAAGCCUGAUGCAGCGACGCCGGGUGGGGUUUGGAGGCUUUCGGGUUGUAAACCGAUUACGCUAUCGAAAGGGUAGGUGGCGAGGAAGCGCCGGCUAACUACGUGCCAGCCGCCGCGGUAAUAC
rnacentral:rRNA from 1 species